rnacentral:tRNA from 1 species
CAGUGUAUAGUUUAUUUAAAAUUUUAAUUUUGGAAAUUAAUGAAAACUAUUGAAGUUUACGCUGA